CCGUUUUUAACUGCUGUUCUGUCAGUGGAGUCGUAUAUGUCUUCGACACCCAUAGUCGUCAACACCAUGCGAUAUUUUGUAAGGCUUCCGGGGUAUAAAGCUUCUUAAAAAUUGGCUGUGAAAGAUCUUGCCUGAUCAUCAUCGAAUACUUCACGGCUCAUGACUCAUGGCUAUUAAAAAGAUGGCGAAUGGCGAUGAACCCCGCUUGCAUAGGGUGCACCCUGUACUCUAUGCACCCUUUAUAUUCUUGGGAGUGGUCGUCUCAGCAAGGCAGAAAAAACAGAGUGAAAAAGAAGGGUAAUGCGAUGGGCAAGCUCCGAUCGCUCCUCGGCUCUUAUGGCCCGACUUACAGCGGGCGCCAAAUGUAACCGAUCGAUCUCGCUCAAACACAAUGGUUCUAUCUCUCGAUAACACUAGAGCUUUUGUCGUUUGCAACCUUUUCUGACAUCUG
rnacentral:sRNA from 1 species